UACGAAGGACCCGAGCGUUAUCCGGAUUUAUUGGGUUUAAAGGGUGCGUAGGCGGAUUUACAAGUCAGUGGUGAAAUCUCCCAGCUCAACUGGGAAACUGCCAUUGAAACUGUUUAUCUUGAGUACAUUUGAGGCGGGCGGAAUGUGUCAUGUAGAGGUGAAAUUCUUAGAUAUGACACAGAACACCAAUUGCGAAGGCAGCUCGCUAAACUGUAACUGACGCUGAGGCACGAAAGCGUGGGGAUCAAACAGG
rnacentral:rRNA from 1 species